rnacentral:rRNA from 1 species
AGUCGAACGGCAGCACGGAGCUUGCUCUGGUGGCGAGUGGCGAACGGGUGAGUAAUAUAUCGGAACGUACCCUAGAGUGGGGGAUAACGUAGCGAAAGUUACGCUAAUACCGCAUACGAUCUAAGGAUGAAAGUGGGGGAUCGCAAGACCUCAUGCUCGUGGAGCGGCCGAUAUCUAAUUAGCUAGUUGGUAGGGUAAAAGCCUACCAAGGCAUCGAUCAGUAGCUGGUCUGAGAGGACGACCAGCCACACUGGAACUGAGACACGGUCCAGACUCCUACGGGAGGCAGCAGUGGGGAAUUUUGGACAAUGGGCGAAAGCCUGAUCCAGCAAUGCCGCGUGAGUGAAGAAGGCCUUCGGGUUGUAAAGCUCUUUUGUCAGGGAAGAAACGGUGGGAGCUAAUAUCUCUUGCUAAUGACGGUACCUGAAGAAUAAGCACCGGCUAACUACGUGCCAGCAGCCGCGGUAAU